UUUAAUGGUUAUUUUUUCUUUUCUGAUGUUGGAUAUAUACUUUAUUUUUUUACACUUUUAAAAUUAAUUUAAUUUUUUUUUUAAUUUUAUCAAUGGAAUUUAUUUUCAGUUAUCUCAAUCCCUCCAACCUCUCCCUAGGCCAUAGAAAACAUCAUCCAACAAACAUAGAUAGAUAGAUAGAUAGAUAGAUAGAUAGAUAGAUAGAUAGAUAGAUAGAUAGAUAGGUUGUCUUUUGUGUUUCCAUUUCUCAGUUAAUUCUCUGGAGGAGAACAUUCACAAGCUACUCUUCAAAUAUUAAAUCUGUACCUGUAUAUAAUGUUCUCUUGGUUCUACUUAUUUCACUUAUUAUCUCAAGUAGUUCUUUCCAAGUUGUUUUUUUUUAAAUCGAUGUGCUCAUUUUUUCUUACAGUACAACAGCACUACAUCACAAUCAUAUAUGACAAUUUGUUUAGCUAUUCCUCAAUUGAUGGACAUCCUCCAUUUUCCAAUUCUUUGCAACCACAAAGAGAGCUGCUAUAUAUAUCCUAAAACAUAUAGGUUCUUUUCCUUUUUCUCUGAUCUCCGUGAUAAAUACUGGGUCUAAGGGUAUAUACAGUUUUAUAACUCUCUAGGCAUAAUUCCAAAUUGUUCCCCAAAAUGGUAGAAUCAGUUCAUGGCUCCACCAACAGUGCUCUAGUGCUCCCAUUUCCUACAUUCCCUCCAAUAUAAUAUGUCAUUUUACCUUUUUGUCAUUUUAGCCAAUAUGCCUUUCUAAAUAUGAACAAAACUAUGAGUUCUGAACCUACCAAAAUGACCAUAUAUGAUGAAUAGGAAGAAUGAUAUUUCAACUUAUAAGGAGAGACAGCAGAAUACCAACCUUCUAUAAAUAGAAAUAACCAAAUGAUCUCUCCACUUCUGUCCAGUGGCCUUCUCAGGACGGUAACACUCUCACCCUAUUGGUCUCUUCUUCUGGUGAGUUCCUCCCCAACCUCCACAUAAAGAAGCAUUUGUACUAUCUUUGCUUACUUCAAACCUGAAUUUGUUUCCCUGGAUAACUGCCCCCACCCCCAAAUCUAUCUUUUUUUCAGCUACCUUUUAUGUCUUUCAUCAUCAGGAUAGAAUAAACUCUUUGAGAGCAAGGACCAUCUUUCUUUUUUGCUUAUGUUUGUAUUCCCACCACUUAGCACAGUGCUUGGCACAAAGUAAGAUCUUAAAGGUUUUUUCGUCUAUCUAUGUAAAACAGAAGUACUACACUGUGAAUUAAACUUUCAAUAACACACACACACACACACAAAAAUGCCAAUUUAAAACAUAGGAUGUAAUAGUCAUUUAGAAAUUGCAUAAAACAAAAGGGAUCAUUUUACUUUUUAAAAGACAAAUGGUGUAAAAAGAUAAAAUUCAGUCAAAAAACUUGGGCAACUAUUUAUUGCAUACCUUUUUUUGUAUUUGGCUAGCAACUGAUAAAGUUUUUUUAUUUCUCCACUGCCGUAUAGGUAGUCCGCUUGUUCAAGGAUUUCCUCAACUGAGGAGAAUGUGAGGGAAAAGAGAGACAAUAAACUGAGUUUUAGCCAGAUUAAAGACACUGACAGUUCAACCAAAUAAGCAUAUAUAUGUAUUAAACAACUCCAAAUUUUAAUAAAUUUGAUUUUUAUAUAUGGUUGCCACCUAAAAAAUAAGAUCACAAACUUUGAAAGAAAAAAUGUACUGACAUUCUAUUAAACAAUACAUCAUAGAACACUGUAUUAUAAAAUGUAAUAAUAAUAAGAGUUAAAUAAAAGCAGUAACUCAUGCUUCCUCAAACUUUUCCAUUUCUUAAGAAUGUUAUCAUUUUUGAUGACUCUCAGUGUUAUAAAAUGCUGAACAAUACCAGAAUUCUGAUUUCCAACAUCAUAUUAGUAAGACUAAUAUCAAUAAAGAGAAAACAUGCAGGAUAUUAAAAUAUUCCUGAUCUAUGGCAUAAAAUGACCUAUGUAAUAAGAAAAUUAGCAUGUAAUGAAAAAUCAGUAGAUAUAUGACAUAGAAAACCAAAGCAAGGAGUUUUAUAAAUAGGAAAAUAUAGGAACACAAAUAGAAUUGGCAAAAAUAAACAGAAUAUAAAAACCAUGAUAAAUAUAAAGAAUUUUGAAUUGUACUUGUCUAUCUUAUGUAUCUAGUGCUAAAGCUAUACCUUAAUACUCCCAGAUAGAAACAAUGUUUACAUAGAAACCUUACCAUUUUAAUUUAAGCUACAUAUGCACGAGAAAAAGUAAAGUUAACCUAUUGUAAGAGAGAAAAUUAAAUCCAGCACUCAAGUGGGGGUAGGGCAAGAAGGACAGAGGAUUCCUGAAAAGAAUACAAAAAGAGUCAGCUUCAGUCCUUAACCAUAUACUCAGCUCAGUCUCUGAAGGGGCAUAUUCUUUCCCUUUGAAGGACAACUUCGGCUGUUUUCCCUAGGGGAAGAGAGGGGAGGAUCAACCUAUCUAUCCCUUCUCUCUAUAUUCUGGUUCUAUCACACCUCUCUCACUCUCUAGUCUCAAAAGUAAACGUAGUGGGUGACUCCAUUCUGGCAUCCAUUACAGUUGGCACCCCAGUAGUUGGAUAAGAACAAGAAUCCAUCACCAACAGUCACACCUGGCAGUUGGAAGAGGCUGGGGGUGGGGCAGCCAUCUUCAGUACAGAAUUCUGAGCAAGUAUAACAUGGGUGAGGAUCUUUCCAGCAGUGGAGAGUAGUGAGAUGCCUCUGUAGUUGUCACAGGCUGCUUGUGAGCCUUUGUUCUUGUAUAAGGAGGCAUCUCUGAGUUCUGGGGGCAUGUCUUCCUCUUCCCAUAUGUUGGUCAGCGCUAUGUGGAAUGCCUGGAGCGCCUUUCCAUUUAAGGCCUUGUACACCUCGGUUGGGAUCCCGUCUUUACUGGGUGCCUUGCCUGCACUCAUUUGUUUAAUGGCUUUUUGGACUUCCUCUAUUGAAGGAGGGACGUCAAGUUGUUCAAUGGAGCGGUUUUGGGGGAUCUGGUCAAGGGCGCUUUGGUCGACUGAAGAGGGUCGGUUGAGAAGCUGACUUAAGUGUUCUUUCCACCUAUUGCUGAUGCCUUUUUUAUCUUUUAUGAGCGUGUCACCGUCAGAGGAUAGCAAGGGAGUGGUGGUGGGUUUUAAUGGCCCAUAGAGAGUCUUGAGGGCACUGAAAAAUUGUUUGUAGUUUUUCAUAUCAGCAAACCGCUGGAUUUCUUCUGCCUUUUUUUCUUAACUGAUUAAGAAGUGAACACAGAAAGGACAAAAUGUACCAGAAAAUAAUGUGGACUAUCCUGGUGUUAGCUAUAUUAGCACACUGUUAUUACUCCAUAUUUGGAACUAUUACCAAUAUAGUUAAUGAUGUGAUAGGGGCUGCAGUUAAUAUCACGAAGUAUUGGGAUCAAAUAACCACUGAGAUAUCAACCCUAUGACAAACCUUCCCUGCUGUGCAUGGUACUGUCAUGAUGACCUGGCAAUUUUACACCACCAUUAGGAUGGGAAUGAAAAUAAUCAUAGGCAGAGACAUCAAUAACUUAGACAAUAGACUGGAUAAGAUGUUUUCACAAAUGGCAGCCAUUACUGACAUGUACCAGGAUUUCACAGUCAAGAUGGAGAAACUGGGAAAGGGAAAGUGUAAAAAAUAGACUCGAAUACAGGACUACAAUCCCCAUGAGCCUUUGCUCCACUUCCCCAGAAUGCCUUGUAAUCUCACCUGGGCCGAGAUCAAGAAGAUAUUUAAGCAAAGGCUUUUGAAGGGCUUUUUUUUUGGACUUCCGUUUUUGGAGCAGAGGCGUCUCUUCCAUGAUGUGAGGUUAUUUUGUCUAGGCCUCUGGCCUAGGCACAUGUUUCUUACUUGUAUAUUCUUAAUCUUUAACCUUUAAUAAACCUCUAAAAAAUAUAUAUUCCUUGCAGAGAGAAACUAAUUUCUACCUGCCUCAGUCUCCCCAUCUCCCCUAAAUUUUAAUCUUUACAGUGUUGGCGACCUAAUGGAAAAAAGAACUUUCAGUCUUCUGAUUUCUUUUCUGAUCUUAAAUUCAGUUUUAAUAUCUAGUACCUAGAAAAAAAAAAUUUUUUUUUUGAGCCAUAUCCCUCUGGCCAAGGUUUUCUACCCUCGCAAAGCUGCUACAGGCUCCGGACCUGCCCCGCCGCUUCCUGCCUCAGCCUGCAGCCCUGAUCGUCCUCACCUGGUACCUGGUCCCGGCCUUGCCCACCCCUGCAGCCGCUCCAGCUCCUGGCCUCUCACCAGCCGCUGCCUGCCUAUUUCUGCGCCCCAGACCCACAAGCAUGACCCCAGCCGGGUCAUCACCCAGAUCCUUGGAGCAGAUCGCUCAGGACUCAUUGCGACCAGCUGGUAACAGUAUUGGCCACGUGGGAGGAGGGGAGAGACCAGAGGGAAAGGAGACCGGGCAAUUUUCCCUUAGGCUAAGCCUCCACGUGGCUGGGGGUAUUGGCCACAGGGGUAUCAGAGGGGAAAGAGAGAAAAGACUAGAGAGAAGAAACAGACUUUUCAAACAGAAACCUAAAAAGCAAUGGGCUGUUUAAAAGGAUUUUUGACUCUUCUGGCAAUUUCAUUGAUUUUACCUGCCUGUCUGGGAGCAGACUCAGCCCAAAGAUUCAACUUUAACUUUGGGGAGGAAAAUGGGUGGCCCAGCGAACUGGAAGCCAGGCCCAGAGACGGGAGGUCUCUAGUUAAAAUCUGGCCUCCGAUGCUUCCCAGCUAUGGGGCCCUGGACGGAUCCCUUGAACCCCGUAGCCUAGCCUUUACUACUCUACCUUCGGACAAUAGACAUUUAAA